rnacentral:antisense_RNA from 1 species
GUGGGAGCUGGCUUGCCUGCGAGAGCAUCCCCCUGGUGUACCUGAUGCACCAGGCACCCGCAUCGCAGGCAAGCCAGCUCCCAC